rnacentral:lncRNA from 1 species
GGGGGCCAGCAGGGCUGUACCUGGGAGUUGGGUUGGGGCGGAGCGGAGGGGAGGCCGUGCCAGGCAGGGCCGGUUCGUGCGGAACCGCCAUGGCCGAGCCGGCUUCGGUAAGAAGGGCCGGUGGAGGAUGCAGGCUCUGUCGAAACUCGGGUCCCUGUCGCAGCUGGAUUGGGGUCCGCGUCCAGGGAGUGGGGCGGCCGGGGCCUGGGCCUGGGGGUUGGCAGUGGCCCACGGACUGAGCUCCGGGCUGGGCUGGAGAAGGUGCAGUCUUGCUGCGUGUGCUGUUCUGGAAUUGACCUGGGGAAAAGCUGGUCUGGCCGGGCUUGGCCGCGCGCGUCUGUGGCCCCGGCCACUCGGAAGGCUGAGGCGGGAGCAGCGCUUGAGCCCGGGAGCUCUGCGCUGUAUAUGCGCUAGGUCCGUCGCGCGGUGCCUCUGAGUUCUGCAUCUGUGUGGUGACCUCUCGGGAGCGGGGACCACCAGGUUCCCCAGGGAGGGGGAACCGGCCCAGCUCGGAAACCGAGCAGGGCAAAACCCCAGUGCUGAUCGUUAGUGGGAUCGCGCCUGUGAAUAGCCACUGCCCUCCAGCCUGGGCAACAGCCAGACCCCGUCU